AUCAGCCGCUAAUUCUUGUUCCCACCCAUUUUCCCUUUCUUCUACACCUUAUCUACUCUUUCAAUUAGAAAAGCCCUAUCCAAAAGCUAUAAUCAUCAGACAUACACACUCUCUUUUAUCUCCUCUCAUCUCUCUUAUACAGACAUAUCACACACACAUACAACCAUAACACUCCCCUCCCUCUUGAUGUUUCUGACCGACAGCCCGGUGACCACCGGCGCUGGUUAACCGGCAAGCUGAUACCCCCCCCCCCCUCGAUCUUUGUUACUCCGACUCACACCCCAUACACCCACAACUCUCCUUCAACCUUGCAUAACCCUCACACGCACAAUCGGAAGAGCGAGAACACCGGAAAGAGGAAGAUAAAUGGCGGCCGUGGAGGUGGUUAAGCCAGAGUGAAAGAGAUCGAUUAGAGAGAGAGAUGGGGGUGUCGGAGGUGGAGCAGCGCCGCCGCUCACGGCGGUGGCAGUGGAGACGGAAGUCGGCAGACUGUUGCCGGCAUUAAUGGCAGCAGCGACAGGGAUGGCGGUCAUGUUUAAUUGCUCAAGUUUUGGUUCGGGUUCUGUUACGGCACAGAUUUGGGGGAUAGUUUUGGGUCAGAUCUGGUCGAGUCUCGGUUUGGGUCAACAGUCAACGAUUUUGGUUCGGGCAGUGCCGUGUCCGGCGACGGUUCCACAGCGGCGCCGCCGUGCUUAUCGACAGUGAUGGUGGUGCCUGACCGACUUCGUCCGUGAGUGAUUCGCAUUCUGAGUCGCUCAACGAAGUCGAACCAGUCAACACAACCGGUUGACUGGUCAAUGCUGGUCAAUUGUCGGAUUUGGUGCUCGGUCAGCCUCAGCUCCUGUUCAAGACUCGGUUAGACCCGAGUCAACUCGGGUCAACUCUGUCGGGUCUCGUUUCGGGUGAAACAGGGUUCACCUCGGUUCGACAAGUUCAAUGUUAUGGUCAAAAGACGGUUAACGGAAGCCAAGCAGUCAAUGCGUGACCCGGUAACAGUUAAACGACGUGAAUAUUUAUUACAUAGUUGAUAUAUUUUAUAGUUGUCGUGAAACUGAGCUCGAACCGAAUAUAUUUAGUGGUUUGUUCUUAUAUUUUUACAAUACCUGGUGAAAAGUUUUGGUAUAUUUUGAUUAAAUAUAUUGUUUAUGUCAUUGUUGAA